rnacentral:lncRNA from 1 species
GAUGAUCCCCGAACUCGUAACUAAUCUCCAAAAUAAACAGAGGCAAACAUACACACACAGAGUAAGCUAUCAUAGCUUAGUAAGUCAUAAGAAAAUAAACAACUCAAUGACAUAAUCAACUCAUUUAAACAAAACCAAAUUAUACUAUAAUAAUCAUAUUUAAUCUUAAGUUUACAAUUUCAUUUAUAACAUAUACUUUCACAUAUAAACUUUAUCAUG